rnacentral:rRNA from 1 species
GAUGAACGCUGGCGGCGUGCCUAAUACAUGCAAGUCGAGCGAACAGACGAGGAGCUUGCUCCUUCGACGUUAGCGGCGGACGGGUGAGUAACACGUAGGUAACCUACCUAUAAGACUGGGAUAACUUCGGGAAACCGGAGCUAAUACCGGAUAAUAUUUCGAACCGCAUGGUUCGAUAGUGAAAGAUGGCUUUGCUAUCACUUAUAGAUGGACCUGCGCCGUAUUAGCUAGUUGGUAAGGUAACGGCUUACCAAGGCAACGAUACGUAGCCGACCUGAGAGGGUGAUCGGCCACACUGGACCUGAGACACGGUCCAGACUCCUACGGGAGGCAGCAGUAGGGAAUCUUCCGCAAUGGGCGAAAGCCUGACGGAGCAACGCCGCGUGAGUGAUGAAGGUCUUCGGAUCGUAAAACUCUGUUAUUAGGGAAGAACAAACGUGUAAGUAACUGUGCACGUCUUGACGGUACCUAAUCAGAAAGCCACGGCUAACUACGUG